rnacentral:rRNA from 1 species
UGGGGAAUCUUGCGCAAUGGGCGAAAGCCUGACGCAGCCAUGCCGCGUGAACGAUGAAGGCCUUAGGGUUGUAAAGUUCUUUUACCCGUGACGAUGAUGACGGUAACGGGAGAAUAAGCUCCGGCUAACUUCGUGCCAGCAGCCGCGGUAAUACGAAGGGGGCUAGCGUUGUUCGGAAUUACUGGGCGUAAAGCGCGCGCAGGCGGUUCGAUAAGUUGGGGGUGAAAUCCCCGGGCUCAACCCGGGAAUGGCCUUCAAGACUGUCGAGCUAGAGGACGAGAGAGGUGAGUGGAAUUCCCAGUGUAGAGGUGAAAUUCGUAGAUAUUGGGAAGAACACCGGUGGCGAAGGCGGCUCACUGGCUCGUUUCUGACGCUGAGGCGCGAAAGCGUGGGGAGCAAACAGGAUUAGAUACCCCCGUAGUCC